GGAGUCGUGGCCAAGUGUUUAAGGCUAUGGACUAGAAAUCCGUUGGGGUCUCCCCGCACAGGUUGGCAUCCUGUCGACUGUG
rfam:Ixodes scapularis strain Wikel colony gcontig_1108378970560, whole genome shotgun sequence.